GAUGAAGAACGUAGCGAAAUGCGAUACGUAAUGUGAAUUGCAGAAUUCAGUGAAUCAUCGAAUCUUUGAACGCAUAUUGCGCUCUUUGGUAUUCCGGAGGGCAUGCCUGUUCGAGCGUCAUUAUCACCCCUCAAGCCCGGCUUGUUGUUGGAUGCAGCGCUUAUCCCGCUCCUCCCAAAGAUAAUGACGGCGUCUGCGACGACUCCUGUACACUGAGCUUUCGGGCACGUACACGGCUAGAAGUCCAGACCCGGUCGCCGUCCCCCCCGCGGGGACACCCAUUACCACAAGGUUGACCUCGGAUCAGGUAGGAAUACCCGCUGAACUUAAGCAUAUCAAUAAGCGGAGGA
rnacentral:misc_RNA from 1 species